GAUGAACGCUGGCGGCGUGCCUAAUACAUGCAAGUCGAGCGAACGGACGAGAAGCUUGCUUUUCUGAUGUUAGCGCCGGACGGGUGAGUAACACGUGGAUAACCUACCUAUACGACUGGGAUACCUUCGGGAAACCGGAGCUAAGACCGGAUAAUAUUUUGAACCGCAUGGUUCCAAAGUGAAAGACGGUCUUGCUGUCACUUAUAGAUUACUCCGCGCUGCAUUAGCUAGUUGGUAAGGUAACGGCUUACCAAGGCAACGAUGCAUAGCCGACCUGAGGGGGUGAUCGGCCACACGGUAACUGAGACACGGCACAGACUCCGACGGGGAGCAGCGGUAGGGACUCUUACGCGAUGGGGGAGAGCCGAAUGGUGGAACGCGGGGUGAGUGAUGAAGGUCUUCGGACGGUAGAACUCUGUUGGUAUGAGAGUAGAAAAGUGUAAGUAACUGUGAACAUCAUGACAGUACCGAAUCAGUAAGCCACGGCUAACUACGUG
rnacentral:rRNA from 1 species